GAUGAACGCUGGCGGUAUGCUUAACACAUGCAAGUCGAACGGACGCUUCGGAGUUAGUGGCGGACGGGUGAGUAACGCGGGGGAAUCUGGCUUUGGGUUCGGGACAACCACUGGAAACGGUGGCUAAUACCGGAUGUGCCGAGAGGUAAAAGAGAAAGUGCCUGAAGAGGAGCUCGCGUCUGAUUAGCUAGUUGGUGAGGUAAAGGCUCACCAAGGCAGCGAGCAGUAGCUGGUCUGAGCGGAUGACCAGCCACACUGGGACUGGGACACGGCCCAGACGCCUACUGGACGCAGCGGUGGAGCAUUUUCCGCCAUGGGCGCAUGCCUGACGGAGCACUACCGCGUGUGGGAAGAAGGCUCUUGGGUUGUAAACCUCUUUUCUUAGGGAGGAACAAAAUGACGGUACCUAAGGAAUCAGCAUCGGCUAACUCCGUG
rnacentral:rRNA from 1 species